rnacentral:rRNA from 1 species
GGCUGCAUAAUACAUGAAGUCGAGCGGAUCUUCUCCUUCGCGGGAAGUUAGCGGCGGACGGGUGAGUAACACGUAGGCAACCUGCCCACAAGACCGGGAUAACAUUCGGAAACGAAUGCUAAGACCGGAUACGCAACUUGGUCGCAUGACUGGGUUGGGAAACACGGUGCAAGCUGUGGCUUGUGGAUGGGCCUGCGGCGCAUUAGCUAGUUGGUGAGGUAACGGCCCACCAAGGCGACGAUGCGUAGCCGACCUGAGAGGGUGAACGGCCACACUGGGACUGAGACACGGCCCAGACUCCUACGGGAGGCAGCAGUAGGGAAUCUUCCACAAUGGGCGAAAGCCUGAUGGAGCAACGCCGCGUGAGUGAGGAAGGCUUUCGGGUCGUAAAGCUCUGUUGCCAGGGAAGAAUAAGGGCUAGUUAACUGCUAGUCCGAUGACGGUACCUGAGAAGAAAGCCCCGGCUAACUACGUGCCAGCAGCCGCGGUAAUACGUAGGGGGCAAGCGUUGUCCGGAAUUAUUGGGCGUAAAGCGCGCGCAGGCGGUCUUUUAAGUCUGGUGUCUAAGUGCGGGGCUCAACCCCGUGAUGCACUGGAAACUGGGAGACUUGAGUGCAGAAGAGGAGAGCGGAAUUCCACGUGUAGCGGUGAAAUGCGUAGAGAUGUGGAGGAACACCAGUGGCGAAAGCGGCUCUCUGGACUGUAACUGACGCUGAAGCGCGAAAGCGUGGGGAGCAAACAGGAUUAGAUACCCUGGUAGUCCACCCCGUAAACGAUGAGUGCUANGUGUUUGGGGGAUCGCCCCCUUCGUGCCGAAGUUAACACAUUAGCCACUCCGCCUGGGGAAUACGCUCGCAAAAC